UACGUAGGGGGCAAGCGUUGUCCGGAUUUAUUGGGCGUAAAGAGCGUGUAGGCGGCCUGAAAGGUCAGCUGUGAAAACUCGAGGCUUAACCUCGAGACGUCGGUUGAAACCAUCUGGCUAGAGUCCGGAAGAGGAGCGUGGAAUUCCUGGUGUAGCGGUGAAAUGCGCAGAUAUCAGGAAGAACACCCGUGGCGAAGGCGGCUCUCUGGGACGGUACUGACGCUGAGACGCGAAAGCGUGGGGAGCGAACAGG
rnacentral:rRNA from 1 species